rnacentral:tRNA from 1 species
ACCUGGGUGGCUCAGUCGGUUAAGCGUCUGACUUCGGCUCAGGUCGUGAUCUCACGGUUCGUGGGUUCGAGCCCCAUAUCAGGCU